rnacentral:misc_RNA from 1 species
UGUUUGGAUUUGGCUUACUCUUGGCAAAGAAGCCAAACUUGUUUGAGAGUAUCUGUUUAGCCAGUUCAGGGGAAGUGAUACAGAUCCUCGGCAUCGGUCCGAACCAGUACAAGAAAGGUUCUCCAUGUUGAGACAACCACUUGACGUAGUGAGGCAUAAUCCUUGGAAUGAAAUUAUGUGUGUGGUUCUCCAUGACCAUCUCUCUUCCUACCUUCUUCAUGCUCCUGAUCUCCUCAAGCGAUCCUGACCAGAACUUGUAUCGAGGGCCUUCCAACCCUUGCUUCUUGAAGCUCCUUGUGAUGAGAUAGGGCUUUAAGAUG